GACGAACGCUGGCGGCGUGCUUAACACAUGCAAGUCGAACGGAAAGGCCCUGCUUUUGUGGGGUGCUCGAGUGGCGAACGGUUGAGUAACACGUGAGUAACCUGCCCUUGACUUUGGGAUAACUUCAGGAAACUGGGGCUAAUACCGGAUAGGAGCUCCUGCUGCAUGGUGGGGGUUGGAAAGUUUCGGCGGUUGGGGAUGGACUCGCGGCUUAUCAGCUUGUUGGUGGGGUAGUGGCUUACCAAGGCUUUGACGGGUAGCCGGCCUGAGAGGGUGACCGGCCACAUUGGGACUGAGAUACGGCCCAGACUCCUACGGGAGGCAGCAGUGGGGAAUAUUGCACAAUGGGCGGAAGCCUGAUGCAGCAACGCCGCGUGCGGGAUGACGGCCUUCGGGUUGUAAACCGCUUUCGCCUGUGACGAAGCGUGAGUGACGGUAAUGGGUAAAGAAGCACCGGCUAACUACGUG
rnacentral:rRNA from 1 species